UACGUAGGGGGCAAGCGUUGUCCGGAAUCAUUGGGUGUAAAGCGCGUGUAGGCGGCUCGGUAAGUCCGCUCUGAAAGUCCAGGGCUCAACCCUGGGAUGCGGGUGGAUACUGCCGGGCUCGAGUCCGGAAGAGGCGAGUGGAAUUCCCGGUGUAGCGGUGAAAUGCGCAGAUAUCGGGAGGAACACCAAUGGCGAAGGCAGCUCGCUGGGACGUGACUGACGCUGAGACGCGAAAGCGUGGGGAGCGAACAGG
rnacentral:rRNA from 1 species